UACGAAGGGUCCAAGCGUUGUUCGGAAUCAUUGGGCGUAAAGCGCGCGCAGGCGGAUUGAUAAGUCAGGUGUGAAAUCUCGAGGCUCAACCUCGAAACUGCGCCUGAAACUAUUAGUCUAGAAUGUCGGAGGGGGCAGGGGAAUUUCACGUGUAGGGGUAAAAUCCGUAGAGAUGUGAAGGAACACCGGAGGCGAAGGCGCCUGCCUGGACGACUAUUGACGCUGAGGCGCAAAAGCGUGGGGAGCAAACAGG
rnacentral:rRNA from 1 species